rnacentral:rRNA from 1 species
UACGGGGGGGGCAAGCGUUGUUCGGAAUUACUGGGCGUAAAGCGCACGUAGGCGGCUUUGCAAGUUAGAGGUGAAAGCCCGGGGCUCAACUCCGGAAUUGCCUUUAAAACUGCAUCGCUUGAAUCCAGGAGAGGUGAGUGGAAUUCCGAGUGUAGAGGUGAAAAUUCGUAGAUAUUCGGAAGAACACCAGUGGCGAAGGCGGCUCACUGGACUGGUAUUGACGCUGAGGUGCGAAAGCGUGGGGAGCAAACAGG